CUGGGCAACGAGCGUCCGCGCUCACCCCCACCCUGUGCUUCGACCCGAAACGCGCUCGGCGCCGUGGCCCCCCAUCGGGGGGUCCUGCCGGACUCCAACCCUGAACAACGGUGAGGCCUGAAGUAAAAAGCAAACAGUUA
rnacentral:misc_RNA from 1 species